rnacentral:lncRNA from 1 species
UUCCUUUCACCCUCCUCUACACAAAUCCGCAAACCAUUCGUUCAUAUUCAUAGCCAAACUCCGUAGAUCUAAGAAAAACCAAACAUAAAUCAUCACCUUUUUCUUUAGAUUUACGAAGUUUCGGUCAUCCCCGUCCUAUAUCCUUUACAUAAAAUUGUAGAGCUCUUCAAGGGCUAUCCUUUGAUGUAAAGUUUAUGUCCAAAAUCC